CUGAAGGUGGAAAGAAGUCUAAUAAAUCAAACUGUGGCCUGGGACCAUUACAACAGCAGCUCUCAAGCUACAAAACAAUGCCAGAUGCGUGUCAGGCUUCUAAUUGCUCCCUGCACUGGGGUCUUUUAAACUGUUGUCUACCUUCCAGCUUAUAGGAAUCUCCCACUUAUUUGGAAAAGAAAAUGUCUUGUGCAAGCAACAAAGUGGACUCCCUGCUCCAGAACUUGUGGG